GUCCACGCCGUAAACGAUGAAUACUAGGUGUUGGUGAGCAAAGCUCUUCGGUGCCGCCGCAAACGCAUUAAGUAUUCCACCUGGGGAGUACGUUCGCAAGAAUGAAACUCAAAGGAAUUGACGGGGGACCCGCACAAGCGGUGGAGCAUGUGGUUUAAUUCGAAGCAACGCGAAGAACCUUACCAAGUCUUGACAUCCCUCUGACCGACUCUUAACCGAGUCUUUCCUUCGGGACAGGGGAGACAGGUGGUGCAUGGUUGUCGU
rnacentral:rRNA from 1 species